rnacentral:rRNA from 1 species
GAAUUUAAGCCCCAGUAAACGGCGGUGGUAACUAUAACCAUCCUAAGGUAGCGAAAUUCCUUGUCGGGUAAGUUCCGACCUGCACGAAUGGAGUAACGACUUCCCUACUGUCUCAACCAUGAACUCGGCGAAAUUGCAGUACGAGUAAAGAUGCUCGUUUCGCGCAGCAGGACGGAAAGACCCCGUGACCUUUACUAUAGUUUGGUAUUGGUGUUUGGUUUGGCUUGUGUAGGAUAGGUGGGAGACUGUGAAGCAUGGACGCUAGUUUGUGUGGAGUCGUUGUUGAAAUACCACUCUGGUCAAUCUGGAUGUCUAACUUCGGGCCAUGAUCUGGUUCAGGGACAGUGCCUGAUGGGUAGUUUAACUGGGGCGGUUGCCUCCUAAAGUGUAACGGAGGCGCCCAAAGGUUCCCUCAGCCUGGUUGGCAAUCAGGUGUUGAGUGUAAGUGCACAAGGGAGCUUGACUGUGAGACUGGCAGGUCGAGCAGGGACGAAAGUCGGGACUAGUGAUCCGGCGGUACGUUGUGGAACGGCCGUCGCUCAACGGAUAAAAGGUACCCCGGGGAUAACAGGCUGAUCUUGCCCAAGAGUCCAUAUCGACGGCAUGGUUUGGCACCUCGAUGUCGGCUCGUCGCAUCCUGGGGCUGGAGUCGGUCCCAAGGGUUGGGCUGUUCGCCCAUUAAAGCGGUACGCGAGCUGGGUUCAGAACGUCGUGAGACAGUUCGGUCCCUAUCCGCUGCGCGCGUUGGAAAUUUGAGAAAGGCUGUCCUUAGUACGAGAGGACCGGGACGGACGAACCUCUGGUAUGUCAGUUGUACCGCCAGGUGCAUGGCUGAUUGGCUACGUUCGGGAGGGAUAACCGCUGAAAGCAUCUAAGCGGGAAGCCUGUUUCGAGAUGAGAUUUCCUGGCACUUUUUGGUGUGUGAGGCUCCUUAUAGAUGAUGAGGUUGAUAGGCCGGGUAUGGAAGCGAGGACUGAAGACUCGUGGAGUUGACUGGUACUAAUAGGUCGAAGGCUUACUUUU